UUUUAGCCCUGGUGGGUAGCUUCCCGGAAACGAAAGUCUUCCGGUUCCGGGGGAAGUAUGGUUGCAAAGCUGAAACUUAAAGGAAUUGACGGAAGGGCACCACCAGGAGUGGAGCCUGCGGCUUAAUUUGACUCAACACGGGGAAACUCACCCGGCCCGGACACCGUAAGGAUUGACAGAUUGAUAGCUCUUUCAUGAUUCGGUGGUUGGUGGUGCAUGGCCGUUCUUAGUUCGUGGAUCGAUUUGUCUGGUUUAUUCCGAUAACGAGCGAGACUCUAGCCUACUAAAUAGUAACGAGAUUAUCAAUGUCUCAGUUGCUUCUUAGAGGGAUUUUCGGUGUUUAGCCGCACGAGAUUGAGCAAUAACAGGUCUGUGAUGCCCUUAGAUGUCCGGGGCUGCACGCGCGCUACACUGGCGAAAUCAGCGUGCUGUAUCCAUUCUCGAAAGGGAUUGGUAAACCCAUGAAAAUUUGCCGUGCUUGGGAUCGGAAAUUGCAAUUAUUUUCCGUGAACGAGGAAUUCCAAGUAAGUGCGAGUCAUCAACUCGCUCUGAUUACGUCC
rnacentral:rRNA from 2 species